AGAGAAUCUCCGUGAGAACCAGGUUAUGCUGCAGAAACAACCCUCAACUCUAAGCUCAAGACAAUGAAGGCUUAUUUCUUGCCCUCACUAGCACACUCAUAGUCUGUCAAGGACCCAGGCUGACAGACCCAUGCAGAUGUCCAUGCUAGGAAGGCAAGAAAAAUGCUCAGUGGGAAAGUGACCCAUCACUUUUACUUGCAGCUCACCAAUCAAAUGAUGGUUGGAUGGCAUCACUGACUCAAUGGACAUGAGUUUGAGCAAGCUCCGGGAGACGGUGAAGGACAGAGGAGCCCAGCGUGUUACAGUCCAUGGGGUUGCAAAGAGUCGGACAUGACUGAGCAACUAAAUAACGAUCAGAAGAGACGAUCUGGUGCCACAUAACCCCAGAGGGACAGGAAGUGCAGCCCUGCCACUCUGGGAGGCAAAGAGCUGGACGUACUGGUGAGGUGCAUUAGUGACAACAACUUCUGCUAGACAAACGUUUGGUCUGUACUCCAACUUGCAGCUUGGUGUUGGAGAUGGAAAUAAAACCUGAUGGAGCUGGAAUUAGCUGGAGAAUAGAGAGUCAGGAGAAAAACUGCUUCUCACCCUUACGGGUUUAUAACACCCAGUGUGGCAUGAAAGUCUUAGUGAAAACUGCGGCUGAGGGAAUUGUGAAUUACCUUCCUUCUGUCAGUUGUCAAAGGCAGCAAACACCACUAAACCCAUGGUGGAAAGCCAUGGGUUUUGGAGUAUCAGUAUUUCUUUGGUGAACUGUUCUGUAUGUAUAACUUGUCAUGAAGUUCUAUUAUAGUUGGAAAUUUGGGGAGAAAGAUAUGUAGUGGAUGGCUGGCCUUCCGAAUAACAAAUAAAGGCAAAGCUGAGAAUAGUUAUCUCUAUAACUUUUUCACAUAAUCUUAUCCAAUUAUUAGAACACCUCAGUAAUGUGGCCUAAGGGGAAGAAAACCAGACAGAAAUCAUACAAAAUCUGGACCACAGGCUCUGUUUAAACAAAUACAGUUUACUUAUUUCAAUACUCUUCAUAUGUCCUCAG
ensembl:lncRNA